UUCUUUGCAACUUCCUUCCUCUGUUGCCUGAUUAAAGUAAGGUGAUCUGCGGUUACAAAAAUGAUAGGUAAAUUUCAUGAUUGUCUGCCAGUUAAUCAAGCAAUGAUGGUCCGAUACUAAACAAAGAUACAAAAUGCCUACCAUGGUGGUCAUUUGAUGAAAUAUAUCAUAACCUCAUAAAUAAUCACAGUACAAUAAAAUAAAUAAUCAUAGUACAAUAAAAAUAAAAAUGAUCUGUUAGAUAGAAUGAUGAAAUAGAGGAAAAUGUGUCAUUUUCUAUUUUUUAGUACUUCGGGAAGGACAUAUAGUAUAACGUACCAGCAACUUCCUUGAAUCUAACAUGCUUAUGUCAUUUCAUAAUAUGGGCUUGCACACAAGAAUCAAAUGGAAGCAUGGUAGGCCGUUUCUUCUAUCUAAUUAUAGUAUGGACAAAUAGUACAACAACAAUUGAAUGUGAGCUAGAGCAUUUAAGCAUAUUUAUGUACAACAAGCUAAAACUGAUCAUUUCUUUAAUAAAAAUGAGGGUACAAUAGUAAACAGAGUUUACAAACUAUACUUGCACAAACACUCUGUAGAAGCAACACCCAAAUAGUUCAGCCCAUAGGAAAAUGCUCAUAAUUCUCGAAAUGUUACAGACUGAACCUCCCAAGGGACGAUGCAUGUAAUUCAGGGAUGGCUGGGGCCUGGGGUGUACCACACUGGGCAGUGAGAAUGCACAUAAUACAGUUUCAUGUCGCCCAUAAUAAACCAAGAUUAGAUAUCUCUAUACCUAAAUAUAAAAUUUAGAUGAGCAAAGAGGAAAAUUAAAUACAUGUAAAAGAUAGUUAUAGGGAAAAAGUCAUAAAUGAUAGGAUGCAUUAUCCAUCGUACUUGAAGGACCCAUUGAAGCUUAUUCAAAAAUUCAAAGACCAGAAAAGCAUCAGCUCAAUGGAAGUUUUGAAGGAUCAUUGUACGACCCUAUAGACAAGAGAUACUAAUCUUGAAAAACAACCUGAAGAAUGUAGGCUGCAUUGAAAUCUUUCUAUUUCUGAAAAAUUAAUAUCUUCUCUGCAGUUGUGUGAGGCAUAGAAAAAACUACCUCUGUCCCUAAAUAUAAGACAUUUUUCAGUUCAAAUCAAACUGCAAAAACGUCUUAUAUGUAGGGACGGAGGGA
rnacentral:lncRNA from 1 species